CGCACAUUGCGCCCUUUGGUAUUCCGAGGGGCACGCCUGUUCGAGCGUCAUUUAAACCAUCAAGCCCAGCUUGGUCUUGGACGCGGUCGAGUGACCCGUCCGUAACCCGUUGGCGGUGCAGUCCGGCUUCAAGCGUAGCAAGAAUCUCGCUUCGUGAGUCCGCGGCGGCGCCCGCCAGGAAAUGGCCUUCUAAAGUUUGACCUCGGAUCAGGUGGGGAUACCCGCUGAACUUAA
rnacentral:misc_RNA from 1 species